UCCCCAGUAGCUCAGUCGGUAGAGCAGGUGGCUGUUAACCACCGUGUCCGUGGUUCGAGUCCGCGCUGGGGAGCCA
rnacentral:tRNA from 2 species